GUUUGUUGGCAUGAGUAGCGGGUUGUUUACUGGAAGGUGGGGAGUUGACCAUUAGCACACCACUAAAGAAAGUAACUUCCUCCCCUGAGCAAUGAUUCGGCCUGCUGUCACCCAGGGUUCAUAGAGCCUGAGCAGCCUUGCCCCACAUGUGGGGAGAUGGUGACAGUCAGAUUCUUAGGUGGGUCCUGUGCAGGUGUCCACAAUCCAGUGAACCAGUAAGAACGUAGCUGUGUGAUCAGAAGACUCCCUUGCUAAGCAUUCCUUCCCAGCCUCUGGUUACAUUCUUGCUGCCCCCCUUCCACGAUGCUCUCUGAGGCUUGGAGGUGGUGACACAGAUGUCCUUUUUAUUGCUGAGUAUGUCCCAGUUGUCCGUUCACUUAAUAGGUCUCUGUGUUAACCUCCACCCACAGGAAACAUUUUCAUAAUGGAUGCUGGGAACGGCCAUAAUCCACGUGGUUCAUUGAGAAGUAUGUAGAAAGCAACUUGAUGCUCAAUCCUUCUGCCGAACAACGGAACAACGGCAGGAGGCUCUGCCCAACCAAGUUCACUGUGCAGGCGUGGGUUUCCUGCUGGGGCUCAGGUUUCAAAUCCAAAAAGUCUUUGUUACCCAGGAGUUCAUGUGCUCUGGACAGCCUACGAACAGACCAGAAGACCACAUCCUGCCUUUCUGUAAAGGAUCAACAGAU
rnacentral:lncRNA from 1 species